rnacentral:misc_RNA from 1 species
GGUUUGAUCAUGGCUCAGAUUGAACGCUGGCGGGAUGCUUUACACAUGCAAGUCGAACGGCAGCACAGACUUCGGUCUGGUGGCGAGUGGCGAACGGGUGAUGUGUAUCGGAACGUGCCUAGUAGCGGGGGAUAACUACGCGAAAGCGCGUAGCUAAUACCGCAUACGCCCUUCCAGGAAAGCAGGGGACAACUUCGGGCCUCGCACUAUUAGAGCGGCCGAUAUCCGGAUUAGCUAGUUGGUGGGGUAACGGCUCACCAGGCGACGAUCCGUAGCUGGUUUGAGGAGGACGACCAGCCACACUGGGACUGAGACACGGCCCAGACUCUGAGGGAGGCAGCAGUGGGGAAUUUUGGACAAUGGAAACCCUGAUCCAGCCAUCCCCGCGUGUGCGACUGAAGGCCUUCGGGUUGUAAAGCACUUUUGGCAGGAAGAAACGGCACGGGAUAAUACCCCGUGCAACUGACGGUACCUGCAGAAUAAGCACCGGCUAACUACGUGCCAGCGGCCGCGGUAAUACGGCGGUUAGCCGGUGCUUCCUGCGGUACCGUGAGGGCGUCCGACCGUGCCAAAGACGCUACCGAAGGCCUUCUCGGGACAACGGAUCAGGUUUCCCCGAUCCCCAGAGGCCCGCCGUAUUUUUCCCGUAUAUAUUUCUGUAGUGUGGCUGGUCGUUCCUGCUAAACCGGCUACGGAUCGUCGCCUUGAUAUUAUAGCGCUAACUAAUCCGAUAUCGGCCGCUCUAAUGGAUGCGAGGCCGAAUCCCGCCCCGAAAGGCGUAUGCUAUCCGUGCAUUCACCCACUAAAGCACUCUGCCAGACGAGUGCUUUUCGUUCGACUGCGUGUGGUAAACAUCCCGCCAGCGUUAUCUGAGCAUGAUCAAGCCCUCUGUUACCUGUUCCCAGGA